rnacentral:rRNA from 1 species
GAUGAACGCUAGCGAUAGGCUUAACACAUGCAAGUCGAGGGGCAGCGCGCUUAUCAAUACCUGUCCGCGACCGGCGCACGGGUGAGUAACGCGUAUGUAACCUGCCCGCAACAUGGGGAUAACCCGGCGAAAGUCGGACUAAUACCGCAUAAAACAGCGGUCCCGCAUGGGAAUAUUUGUUAAAGAUUUAUCGGUUGCAGAUGCGCAUGCGUACCAUUAGGUAGUUGGUGAGGUAGCGGCUCGCGAAGCCUUCGAUGGUUAGGGGUUCUGAGAGGAAGGGCCCACACACGGGGACUGAGCACAGGGGCAGAGUCAUACGGGAGGAAGCCGUGAGGAAGAUUGGUGAAUGGGAGAGAGCAUGAUGGAGGGAAGUCGCGUGCAGCAUGACUGCCUGAGGGGUUGUAAACUUCUUUUACAAGGGCAUAAAAGGAGGUACGUGUAUUUUAUUGAAUGUAAUUUGGGAAUAAGCACCGGCUAACUACGUG